UGUGUUAUGUUGAAAGAACCCAACGCAGUCAGGCAAUUUCUUCAAACUACCCAGAAUGCAACGCUCCAGCUUUUCAAAUUGCAGGAAGGCGCGAGGAGUAAACAGACUAGUUCGCCUGCAAGAAAUGUACCACGUGAUGCAGUAGCCUGUUGAUGCUGGCAAAAGAUGCAAUCUGGAGGAUUUCAGGGUACGUUUUACUAUGCUUCAAUGUUAGGUGAGAUGAAUGUAAUGCAGUGUUUCCCAACCAGGGGUACGUGUACCACUAGGAGUAUGUUUUAUUUUAUGAAUAAAAACAAAUGUAUGGUCAUGAUCAUAUUGGGAUAGAGAACAUGAGUGAGGUGGUACUCAUACUAUGACAAAAAUGCUUAGGGGGUACUCAAGACGAAAAAGGUUGGGAGACACUGAUGUAUGCCCAGAUCAUGUACGCCCAGAGCAAAGUCACAGGCAGUGUGCUUCUCUUGCAUUCACAGACUGCCCAUGCUUUUUUAAAGAGAUAAGUUAGAAUGCUUUGCAUAUCUAUUUGUGUAGAGUUAAUCACCAAGACAAUUUCCAGAAGUUGUAUCCAGGUGUCAAUUGUGUCCUUGUUCUGGUGUUGUUAUUUUCAAACAGAGAUGGCUCUUGCUCACUGGCAGUGACUUGGGUCAUGUGAGACAGCAUCAGAGCUCGGGUGACAUCUCUCGCUCGGGUGAAAUCUCUCCUGGAAGAUUUCAAGGUGUGUGCAGAGUUCUGAAGAAUAAAAGUCAACAGUCAAGUUCUUCUCCAUAUUCUCCAAAUCUGACGGAGGCGUUCCAUCAGGAAAGGGGGAAUGGUUGGUCGAUGCCUCCAGAAUAAUGAUACCCAUGACCCAGGCACAACAUGCUGACAGGGAAUCGGCUAUGGCAGAAAGCAUCCAUGCCAUCUACGUGAUCCGCCAUGAAGGUUCAGAAGCUACUGACAGUCCUGAGGACAUCGGAAUCAUUUUCAAAGGGGUGACUGCAUUUGGCUGCUUGCCAAACAUCCUACCCAGGCUCCGCCCUCGCAGUGACGCAACACCUUCGGCUCUGCUACACACACUCAGGAAAACUUUGUUCAGGUACUUUCGGGUUCCCUCCACAGCAGGAAACUCCACCCACUUUGUCGGGAAGCAAUCGACUUUCAGCAUCACCAACCGUCCUGGCUAGAGGCGUGUUCAAGGAAGUGACAAGGUUUGAGCAGAGACGCUCUAUUGGGACUAAGAAAAUGUUUGGUUUAAACUUUGGCUCAGCCUGUUCGGCCCUCGACCAGUAGCAAAUCAUGAGAGUUGGGUCAACCAUGCCGUUUGAGAAUGUUGUUAUGCUCUUGGUCAGACCAAGUCUCGAAGAGAUUUGUAAGUCAUGAUAAUCAGGUUACAAAUAUUCACUUACAGUGGCCAUAUUUCUUGCCCUUGUUUACGCACUAAACUUGUUAUCCUCCUUGAAAGUUGUG